rnacentral:rRNA from 1 species
GCGUAGGAAUCUGUCUUAAAGAGGGGGACAACUCGGGGAAACUCGGCUAAUACCGCAUACUACUCUACGGAGUAAAGGUUGCUAGUUUACUAGCGUCACUUUAAGGUGAGCCUACGUUGCAGUGGGCUUUUUGGUAGGGUAAAGCCUACCAAGGCGAUGAUCCAUAGCUGGUUUGAGAGGAUGAUCAGCCACCUGGGACUGAGACACGGCCCAGACUCCUACGGGAGGCAGCAGUUCGGAAAUUGGACAAUGGGGGCAACCCUGAUCCAGCGAUGCCGCCUGUGUGAAGAGGCCUUCGGGUUGUAAAGCACUUUUAUUGAGGAGGAAAUGCCAUUACUGAUACGUAAUGGAGCUGACCUCACUCAAUGAAUUAGCACCGGCUUACCCUUGCCAGCAGCCG